GCCCACGCGGUGGCCUGUGCCUGUAGACCCAGCUACUCGGGAGGCUGAGGUUGGAGGAUCGCUUGAUCCCAGGAGUUCUGGGCUGUAGUACACUAUGCUGAUCGGGUGUCUGCAUUAAGUUUGGCGUCAAUAUGGUGACCUCCCCGGAACGGGGGACCACCAGGUUGCCUAAGAGGGGUGAAGUGGCCCAGGUCGGAAACGGAGCAGGUCAAAACUCCCGUGCUGAUCAGUAGUGGGAUCGUGCCUGUGAAUAGCCACUGCACUCCAGCCUAGGCAACAAAGCGAGACCCCGUCUCU
rnacentral:SRP_RNA from 1 species